UACAAAUAUUCGAUGAUAGGUACCUCUCAAAUUGCCUCUAAAUCAAAAUGAGCCGAGAAGGAAGUGAAAUAGAAACUAGAAUGUUUAGAAGUAAUAUUAUUGAACAUGUAGCCAAUUUGUCGAAGUUUAUACGGUAUUUGUGUAGCAAUGUGUACGGUUUGAAGUUUUACUGGAUAGGUAAAUGAUUCAUCUUCGAAAAGAUGAAUCAGCUAAUUUUCUCAAUUGUGUGUUUUUUUGUAACCGAAGUGCGAUCAAAAAGAGCUUUACUUCUUGAUGUCAACAAUGAAUACUAUCAAGGAGGCAUUGAAGACGUUUGGCACAACAAUACUUUUAUCAGACCUAAGAAAUAUUUAGCCGCGUGCCCUGCUUCCAGCCCUCUAGAGCAGCAAUUCAACAAAGAUGUCUCGUUGUCCAAACAAAGCGUAUUCUCGAGGUCAAUUUUUCUGAGAAAUCAAUCCCUGACGGAGAGUGAUAUUGAUUUUUGUGAGAAGUCGCACGAACCCGCGAUGAUUUAUGACUCACUUACGGGAGAGCAUAAAAUAGGAUAUGAGCUGUAUGUUUUUAUAAACGAGACCGAACGUCGGUACAACACAAAACAUGAUUAUCAUUAUUAUAAAACGGUAAACACAAAAAAGCUCCCGUAUGAAAUUGAGAAUCAAACAAUAUUCAAUGGUACCUCUGAAUUUACUAUUAGGUACGAAGAUUGGAACCACAUUAUGUUCAAUUUCACCAAUGGAUAUCCCACUCUGAGUUUUUCUUGGAUAAAUAUACUGUCUAUAAAAUGCUCAAAACACAACAAGCAUGUGAAAUUGGGAUAUUACAAUGUCGAAAAGUUUGAAAAUUUGAACGAUGAAUGCAAAAAUUACCGACCUGCUGAUGAAGAAUUGUACUCAAAGAAAAAUCAGAAAAAGCGUUUGAAAAACAUUUUAGUACCGUCGUCCUCGCUUAAAGGAAACCCUGAUCUGUCAUGCGGGCAAUCUUACGGAUGUUUAACACCAUCGCAGAUAAUUCCACUGUGGUAUUUUGCCUCAAGCUCAGCCAAGCUUGCCAGUUGUUCGUAUUCAAACGUAAUACCCGUUUGGAAAAGCAUCGCAGAUGGAAAUUUGAGAAGAGUCGAUCUUUUCGUAGCUGCAAUUUUUCAGGAUUUAAUUGUUCACGAAGUCACUUUCGGUGUAAAUGGAGUAUUGAAAAUGAUGGUACCGGGCGGCUCCCGAAAAAUGUAUUUAUCAGAUACCAAACGCGAUCGUGUCGAGGAAAUUCCAAAAAUAAUUUAUCGAAUUAUUAGAAUCGUCGGGUUAGAAACAUAUAGUAAUCAUAUUGCAGUAAUCGUAAUCCAUAAUGAUCCUAGCGGUGUCCGAGAUACUGACAGACUUUGCGACAAAAACGAUACUCUUAUUCACACGUGGGAUAAAAUAAUCAACGAUGAUCCAAAAACUGGAUUAACUUACGUUUGUGCGAUGACCACAGAUAUUGAAAAAAAAUUAGACGUCAAUUGUUGCAGCAUAAAUAAACUGAAUUUGGCCGAAGUUCCCCAGGAUUCGUAUUCUUCUAUUCAGUGCUUUAUGGAGGAUCAACACGAAUCUAUCAAUUAUAUCUUUGACAAAUUUUUAAAAGAGUAUCCCAAGUGAAAUAAAAACCCGAUAAAAAUCUUUGGUCUUAUUUUUAUAUUUACCUAUUCUAUUCUUUUUCUUAGUUAGGUUUAAGAUUUUCACUUUUUUUGACAGUUAUAAGAGAAGGUGUCUAAUUACCUACAUAAGAUUGAAUAUAUUUUCCAACUUUUAAAAAUUCUAUUCUAAUCAAUUUAGUUUCCUCUUAAGAGAAACGUUUUAGUGCCACGUGAAAUUUAAAAUAAAAAAUUCGCAAUUUUUUCAAUCAUAGUUUUGUUUUACGCUUUUCUUCAAUUUUCGACCUUGAAGACUGAAUUCAAAAAAAAAGGUAGGUAGUAAAAAACAUUUUGCAGGUCAAUUCUCGGAAAAUUCUUGAUUUUUGCUCGAGUCAAUUUAGGCGAAAGCAAUUGAAAAUUCACAGUUUUGUGAGAACAAAAAAUCUUUUUUUCUUCAAUUUAUUUGAAUUUCAAUCUUUCUUCACAUAAUUAGAAAAUAAAAUGUUAAUUUCUUUCACUUCACACAGAACAAAUUUCGUGCAGGUAGGUAUUUUUAAUAAUUUUGGAGGGUUUCAUCUACUUUUCAAGAUCAUUUCCGAAUUACGUACUUUUUUCGUAAUUUUGUAAGUAUUUUUUUGACCUGUAGGCAUAGGACAUUUUUGACUUUUUAAAAAAUUCGACAAAAUUUAAAGAACCAACUUCAGCAGCUGGGAAAUUCGAUUCUGAGGUUGAAGUGACGUGUUCUUUCAGCGAGCCAAAAUUCAGGGCAAUCACAGUUGCUGAAAUGUAAUAUGUAGUUCUCGUGUAAAUAUCUUAUUGAUUAUUACUUUAUCCCAACUUUUUCCAGUCUUAAAAAAUAACUAAGUAUCAGAACCAAUCUAUUUAUUUUACUUUCAGAGCUACUAUUUUUAAUCAAGUUUGUCCUUUACAAUAUCAUUUUAAUUUUUCUGCAUUGCAUCAUUUACCUCAAAUGAAGCGAAUCAUUUUCAAUAUUCACGUUUCGUAAUCCCCGAUAAAGAUGGUAAUAGGUAUCGAUAUCGGGUUAAAAAAAAAGAGAGAGAAAGAAAUGAAAACCGAAUUUCGCAAUCUCAUUAACAUGUAAGCAUAUUUGUUUAGCUUGGGGUUUAUUGGAUUUUUUGAAUCACAUGUCGUACAUUAGGCGAAUCAUUUUCAAUGCUAAUAUUCGGUAAUUACUUUUUCAGAUAGACUUUAAAUUAAAAGUAGCCGAGUAGGAAGUAACCAGAAACUAGAUUUAAAAAUUAAUUUAGUAAAUAUGUAAAGCCAAAUUGUGGAAGUUUGUACGUAUUCUUGUACGGUUUUCAACUAAGUGUAAAUGAUUCAUCUUUGAAAAAAUGAAUUCACUGAUUUUCUCUAUUUUGUGUAUUUUCGUAACCGAAGUGCGAUCAAAACAAGCUUUACUUUUCAAUUUGCGGACUAAGACCCUUGAAGACGCUUGGCACAAGGAUACAUGUAAACAAUUAUCUGAUAAUGAAUACAAAUAUUUAGCUGGAUUUUCAUUGAAAUACUGUAUUCUUUCAGAUGUAUUUUUUUAAAAACGAGACCGAAAUUUGGGUUUCCGAUGGACGUUAUUAUAAAACGGU